rnacentral:rRNA from 1 species
UACGUAGGGGGCCAGCGUUGUCCGGAAUCAUUGGGCGUAAAGCGCGCGUAGGCGGCCAGAUAAGUCCGGUGUGAAAGUCAAAGGCUCAACCUUUGAAUGCCGCUGGAAACUGUCUGGCUUGAGUCCGGAAGGGGCGAGUGGAAUUCCUGGUGUAGCGGUGAAAUGCGCAGAUAUCAGGAGGAACACCGGUGGCGAAGGCGGGACUCUGGGCCGAUACUGACGCUGAGGAGCGAAAGCGUGGGGAGCAAACAGG